rnacentral:rRNA from 1 species
AGAGUUUGAUCCUGGCUCAGGAUGAACGCUGGUGGCGCGCUUUAUGCAUGCAAGUCGCACGAGAAGGGACCCUUCGGGGUCCUGGAGAGUGGCAGACGGCUGAGUAGCACCUGAGUAACCUGCCCUCAAGUGGGGGACAACCCCGAGAAAUCGGGGCUAAUACCGCAUGAGCUCUCUGGGUUAAACCAGAGAGGAAAGCUUCGGCGCUUGAGGAGGGGCUUGGGGCCUAUCAGGUAGUUGGUGGGGUAAUGGCCUACCAAGCCAUAGACGGGUAGCUGGUCUGAGAGGAUGGUCAGCCAGAUGGGGACUGAGACACGGCCCCAACUCCUACGGGAGGCAGCAGCAAGGAAUUUUGCGCAAUGGGCGAAAGCCUGACGCAGCGACGCCACGUGGGGGAGGACAGCCCUUGGGUUGUAAACCCCUUUUCUUGGUGAAGAGGAAGGACGGUAGCCAAGGAAUAAGCCUCGGCUAACUACGUGCCAGCAGCCGCGGUAAUACGUAGGAGGCGAGCGUUAUCCGGAAUUACUGGGCGUAAAGAGCACGUAGGCGGCCCUUUAAGUUGGUGGUGAAAUCUCUCGGCUCAACCGAGAGGGGUCCAACAAUACUGGGGGGCUCGAGGGCAGCAGAGGAAGACGGAAUUCCCAGUGUAGCGGUGAAAUGCGUAGAUACUGGGAGGAACACCAGUGGCGAAGGCGGUCUUCUGGGCUGUUUCUGACGCUGAGGUGCGAAAGCGUGGGGAGCGAAGAGGAUUAGAUACCCUCGUAGUCCACGCCCUAAACGGUGGAUACUAGGUAUAGGAGGUAUCGACCCUUUCUGUGCCAAGCUAACGCUUUAAGUAUCCCGCCUGGGGACAACGGCCGCAAGGCUAAAACUCAAAGGAAUUGACGGGGACCCGCACAAGCAGCGGAGCGUGUGGUUUAAUUCGAUGCAACGCGAAGAACCUUACCAAGGCUUGACAUGUUAGUAGUAGGGACCCGAAAGGGCGACGAACCUGGCUUUUGUCAGGUAGCUAUCACAGGUGCUACAUGGCUGUCGUCAGCUCGUGCCGUGAGGUGUUGGGUUAAGUCCUAUAACGAGCGCAACCCCUAUCGUUAGUUGUUUUCUCUAGCGAGACUGCCUGGAGAAUCCAGGAGGAAGGCGGGGAUGACGUCAAGUCAGCAUGGCCCUUACGCCUUGGGCUACACACACGCUACAAUGGGCGGUACAAUGGGUUGCGAAGGAGCGAUCUGGAGCCAAUCCCUAAAACCGCCCCCAGUUCAGAUUGCAGGCUGAAACUCGCCUGCAUGAAGGAGGAGUUGCUAGUAAACGCAGGUCAGCACACUGCGUUGAAUGCGUUCUCGGGUCUUGUACACACCGCCCGUCACGUCAUGAAAGCCGGCAACACUUGAAGUCAGCGGGCUAACUCUUAGGAGAGGCAGUUGCCGAGGGUGGGGCUGGUGAUUGGGACGAAGUCGUAACAAGGUA